UUUCCUAUCUUCAGAAACAUCAUCUCAUUCAUGGUGUAUCUACAUACUUCCACGGCGUCUCACAUACUCCCAAUCUCCACUUCCCAAACCACUCCCUCCGCCGCUCCUUCUUCCGUCGAAUCUCAACCACCCAUCGCAAUCCCUUAAUUCCCGUCUUCAUCAACCGAGUCUCAGAAACUGUCACGAUCGGAUCUUUGUGCUUUUCCUCACCGAUGUUUGAUCUGUUUUUGUCUCGGCUGUGAUGGUCGGAGUCGUGUUGAUCUGUGCUCACCUAGCGUUUAGGGCUCCGAAAGAUCUUUUCUUGGAUGAGGAAGAGAAAGAUCUUUCCUUUCGUUUAUUUUUAAGUUUAAGAUUCAGGAAAUAUCAUUUUUGUUAAAUUUUAUUUGAUUCCUCGAUUGGUGAUUUAAGCUGUGGAUUGAAUCUAGGGUUAGCGUUCCUUUAAAAUUUUGGAUUCUUUAGAUAGUUUUUCAUUAUACUCCAAUUAAAUCCUCCUUAGACCUCUCAUUGUUCUUAUUCAUUACCAAAACUGAGUUUCCCUCUCUUUUGCUACUUAGGUAAUAACUUUGAUGGCUACACGCUUAUAUCUGUUUGUUAAGUGUUAGUGUGAGUCGUCUGUUGAUUGAUUGUUAAUUAAUAAAAGCAAUUGAACUUGAUAACCUUCACGCCAAACAACUAAAAUGGUUCUGUUUUUUUUUCUUACAGGUUAAAAAUUAAUUUUUAAACAAAUUUUUGACGUUUGCAAGAGCUCAACCUGAAGCAUGCAAGACGGAUAUGUUAUUGCAGAGAGGAUAUGACUGUUCACUACAGGUUUGAAUGUCAGGAUAAUCUUGACAAGGGUUUUGAGACCAACACACCUUUCUCUUGGAUCACAUCCAGUUUCAAGGAGGAUGCUUAGUCUGGUGCUACAACUCAGUCUACUCUUUCUCAUGAAUCUGCUGAGUCGGAUUCCCUUUGAAGACAAGUAUCUUAUCCACUCAUGGGCCCUAGGUUGUGUAAUUUUUAAUAGGUGAUCUGUACAUCAUCAUACCGUGUCGUUUAAUUAAAACAUAACAAAGUUUACUGCCUCUUUGUUUGCGUUUGUUUUUGGCCUUCACCUUAUAUGCAUGAGCUCUUCACAUAUUCAUGAUAUUUGUUUAGUUAUGUACAGAUCUUUACUCUUUUGGUGUUAUUGAGUCCUUCAAAUAUUUA